GAUGAACGCUGGCGGCGUGCCUAAUACAUGCAAGUCGAGCGAACAGACGAGGAGCUUGCUCCUCUGACGUUAGCGGCGGACGGGUGAGUAACACGUGGAUAACCUACCUAUAAGACUGGGAUAACUUCGUGAAACCGGAGCUAAUACCGGAUAAUAUAUUGAACCGCAUGGUUCAAUAGUGAAAGACGGUUUUGCUGUCACUUAUAGAUGGAUCCGCGCCGCAUUAGCUAGUUGGUAAGGUAACGGCUUACCAAGGCAACGAUGCGUAGCCGACCUGAGAGGGUGAUCGGCCACACUGGAACUGAGACACGGUCCAGACUCCUACGGGAGGCAGCAGGAGGGAAUCUUCCGCAAUGGGCGAAAGCCUGACGGAGCAACGCCGCGUGAGUGAUGAAGGUCUUCGGAUCGUAAAACUCUGUUAUGAGGGAAGAACAAAUGUGUAAGUAACUAUGCACGUCUUGACGGUACCAAAUCAGAAAGCCACGGCUAACUACGU
rnacentral:rRNA from 1 species